rnacentral:rRNA from 1 species
UACAGAGGGUGCGAGCGUUGUUCGGAAUUACUGGGCGUAAAGCGUGCGCAGGCGGCUUCUCAAGUCAGGGGUGAAAGCCCAGAGCUCAACUCUGGAAUUGCCUUUGAGACUGAGAGGCUUGAGUACGGGAGAGGUGAGUGGAAUUCCCAGUGUAGAGGUGAAAUUCGUAGAUAUUGGGAAGAACACCGGUGGCGAAGGCGGCUCACUGGCCCGAAACUGACGCUCAUGCACGACAGCGUGGGGAUCAAACAGG